rnacentral:rRNA from 1 species
CUAUACAUGCAAGUCGAGCGGACAGAUGGGAGCUUGCUCCCUGAUGUUAGCGGCGGACGGGUGAGUAACACGUGGGUAACCUGCCUGUAAGACUGGGAUAACUCCGGGAAACCGGGGCUAAUACCGGAUGGUUGUCUGAACCGCAUGGUUCAGACAUAAAAGGUGGCUUCGGCUACCACUUACAGAUGGACCCGCGGCGCAUUAGCUAGUUGGUGAGGUAACGGCUCACCAAGGCGACGAUGCGUAGCCGACCUGAGAGGGUGAUCGGCCACACUGGGACUGAGACACGGCCCAGACUCCUACGGGAGGCAGCAGUAGGGAAUCUUCCGCAAUGGACGAAAGUCUGACGGAGCAACGCCGCGUGAGUGAUGAAGGUUUUCGGAUCGUAAAGCUCUGUUGUUAGGGAAGAACAAGUGCCGUUCAAAUAGGGCGGCACCUUGACGGUACCUAACCAGAAAGCCACGGCUAACUACGUGCCAGCAGCCGCGGUAAUACGUAGGUGGCAAGCGUUGUCCGGAAUUAUUGGGCGUAAAGGGCUCGCAGGCGGUUUCUUAAGUCUGAUGUGAAAGCCCCCGGCUCAACCGGGGAGGGUCAUUGGAAACUGGGGAACUUGAGUGCAGAAGAGGAGAGUGGAAUUCCACGUGUAGCGGUGAAAUGCGUAGAGAUGUGGAGGAACACCAGUGGCGAAGGCGACUCUCUGGUCUGUAACUGACGCUGAGGAGCGAAAGCGU